rnacentral:rRNA from 1 species
UACGUAGGGGGCAAGCGUUGUCCGGAUUUAUUGGGCGUAAAGAGCGUGUAGGCGGCCAGGUAGGUCCGUUGUGAAAACUGGGGGCUUAACCUCCAGCUGUCGAUGGAAACCAUCUGGCUAGAGUCCGGAAGAGGAGAGUGGAAUUCCUGGUGUAGCGGUGAAAUGCGCAGAUAUCAGGAAGAACACCCGUGGCGAAGGCGGCUCUCUGGGACGGUACUGACGCUGAGGAGCGAAAGCAUGGGGAGCGAACAGG